UACGUAGGUGGCAAGCGUUGUUCGGAAUUACUGGGCGUAAAGGGCGCGUAGGCGGGAUGGCAAGUCGGUUGUGAAAUCCCUCGGCUCAACUGAGGAUCGUCGAUCGAUACUGCCGUUCUUGAGGAUUGCAGAGGAGACUGGAAUUCCCGGUGUAGCGGUGAAAUGUGUAGAGAUCGGGAGGAACACCGGUGGCGAAGGCGGUUCUCUGGGCAAUUCCUGACGCUGAGGCGCGAAAGCCAGGGGAGCAAACGGG
rnacentral:rRNA from 1 species